CCUCUCUCCAGGCAUUCCCUGCAGGCCGGGGGGUCCCUGAGGUCCAGCAGCACCGGAUGGUCCAAUGGCUCCCUGAGUUACAGGUUCACUUCUGGCCAAGAAAUUCUAAUAAUACCCAAAGAUGCAAAAGAAAAUUUUAAUGAGAAGACAGAAAGAAAAAAAACUAAGGGAGCUACGUCCACCUUGAAGAGAGAGAUGAUGAUGAUCAAGAUAAACCACAAUAAAAACCAGUCGACUGCAUAAAAUCUUCAGAGCUGCACCUGCAGAACACUGAAGAGCUGCGGUGGUGCAGCGGAGACUAAAUGUGAAUCUUAAGUCUUGUAUAAGACGGAUCCACUGACCUUGGGUCCAUCGGUUCCAGGUGUUCCAGGAAGUCCACGGGGUCCCUGGAGACCCUGAGCUCCAGCACCGCCCCUCUCGCCAGGGAAUCCACGCUCGCCCUGUUAGGGAAAACAAAAAAGACACUGGCUCAGCAGGAGACACAGGAAGUGGUCACAGACGAGGCUCUGUGAUCUGAGGAACAGGAAGUGCUUGUGUGAAUGAAUUAGCAUAAUAUCUAUUUGAAGACUGAAGAUGGAAACUCACUCUGGGUCCAACAGCACCAGGAGCUCCGCCCUCUCCAGAAACACCCUGCAGAGAGAAAACAGACGCUGAGUUUAAUACCAGUGACUUUACAUAAAGACAAACAACUCAUUUUCAUUUUUUCCCACGAUAAGAAAAGAAACUCACCUGGAAGCCAGAAGGUCCAGGCUGACCUUGCUCUCCUCUCUCUCCCGCGGGUCCCUGUGUGACAGACACAGAUGAUCAGCUCAGCGGCAAAAGACGAGUGACUUUCCUCAGUGAACCUGACACAUCUCACAACAUAGUUCACCCUGUUGAAGAAGAAUCACAUUAAAAUGGCUGUAUCUCUCUGAGUGGAUUUAUGAG